rnacentral:lncRNA from 1 species
GUUGUGAUGUUUUUAAUAAUAAGUUAAGUUUUCAACUUUUAAUAUAUGUAUAUAUAUAAUUAGGCUAUUAUUCUAUUAAUACUACAAACCGUUUAAUGCUAUUAGAUUUUCGACUCUUGUAUGAAAAAAUGUACAGUUUUGAUGAUAGUAGUCUCUAAGGUUGAGUGGUUAAUUAUUGAAUAAUAUGAUCUAACGAAUAAAAAUGAUCAAGGGAUAAAUCUAAUAGCGAAAAACUCUCAAGUACAAAACGUUUAAUACUAUCAAUAGUAUAAUAGUCGGGCUCUCUCUCUCUCUCUAUAUAUAUAUAUAUAUAUGAAUAAGAACAUAAAUAAAAAUAAAAAAA